CCCACGGCUCUGCCGGCAGAGUCGCAGGCGGAUCUCCCCCCUCCCCGUCAUCCAUCCGCCACCGCCUCUCCCACGCUCCCACCGUCCCACCCCAACCGGCGAAAGAAAAUUCGGUCGCGAGCUCGCAAUCCAGCUCCUCCCCCGCCACCCCACGCACGACGCCGGCUCCUCCCGCGCGCUCGCGACCUCGCCCCGCUCCGACAUCCCUGCGGCACCUCCCGCCUGUGGCCUCCCCGCCGACGUCCCCUACCUUCCCCUCUUCUUCAUUUGGCAAGUCCUCGCAGCCUCGCCGCCGGUGCAGAGCCGCCACCAUGGAGCAGCUCCGAAGCCGGCCGGAUUUUCCGGCCAAAUCCGGCCCUCUCCGCCAUUGGUGAGCACACCUCUGAGUUCCCCUCCCUCUCCUCUCCCUCCCUCACACGUAAACUGCUGUGCUGGGACGCUCGAGAUCGGGGCCGAUUGCUCGAGCUGCUCGCCGUACUUGCCAUCGUGUCGUCCCCGUCGCCCCGCACUGCCGCCGUCGCGUCGUCCAACCAUCCCACCGCGCCGCCGCUGCGGCGUCGAUCCACAGCCACGUCGCCGCUGCAGCCCCACCACCCACCGCGGCACCACGCCGCCUCUGCGGCGUCGACCCCAGCGUCGCCACGGUGCCGCCGUCGCGCCGCCUCCAUCCAGACGCCCUGCCGUCAGUCCGCUUGGUGACCAGGGCCUCAUGUAGAUGGGUCCAGGGGUUGCAGGUGUGCUGCCCCAUUCAAGAGGGCACACGCCCAUUAGCUAUUCUACAGAUGGCUUCAAUCGCGUGGAUAGAUGCAGUGACAGUUCCUUGGUACGAAAUGCACCUGCUAAGCACACUGCUCACCAGAAGUUCGAUGGAAUGCCUCACAGGACCAUUGUUCGAGGGAAGAUCAAUUCAGCAAGAGGUGUCGGGGGCAGAGAACUCAGAGCAAAUCAAUUUUUCUGAAUAAACUAAAGCAGAAUUGCACUGUAUAUGGUAUGCUCAUCUGUACUUGUUUCUGUGUUCCAGAGCUUCCCUCAACAUCUAAUAACCCUUUUGGUAAUCAAUGUCCAUGCUUCAUUAGUUUAGGUAAGCAAUCUGGGUCUGAAUUGCGUUGCCAUCCUGCAUUACUUUAGGAUAAUCCCUUCCUUAGUUUGAUUGUUUGUCGUUUGAGUGGAUCAUCAAGCCUGAAAAUCUACAGUGUUUCUCAGGACAUCAAACUUGAGUUCUAGGUGCUGCCUGAAAAUAUUGCUGAGUUUAUUAUGCCAUUUCAGUUCUUGGAGAUGCAUUUCUUCCUUGGCUAAAUCACCCUGCUUCCCUAUUAGUUUGUGAUGAUGAUAUGUGAAGAAAUUUUUGAACCUUUCCCCAUUAUUAGUGGUAACUGUCGGCUUCUUUAUUUGAGUGCGGAAGAACACAUGUACUUAUAUGUAUGGGCAGGGCCAAUAAUUUUCUAUAUCCACACUGCCUUAGUUAAAGUCAGUAGCAUGUUUAGUUGUACAGGAGAUACGCCUGGCAUGUUAGUCUAUUUCCUUGUCUAAUCUCCUUCCUUGAAUAUUGGGAUCUCUAUCAUUUUGGUUGUAACCGUAUAUGGCAAAAUAAUGCAAGCUAAAGCUAUCACAUAUUUUGAUUAUUACUGCAUCUGGACGUUCCGAGUAUUUUCUAAGAGUAUGUGAGUUGAGAAUUUGCUAUGGUACUAUCUCAAACGGUCUCAACUAGAUUAUUUUAUUUGCAGAUCAUUCAAUAGCAACCAUUUGGCUGGACAGAUACCAGAUAUUUUUCAGCACUCAACUUUGACUUGUCUAAACAAUGUUAUCCUAGACUACCAUUAACUGAUAAUUUCAGAACUUGCUAUGAUAGUAUCUAAAACUGUCUCAACUAGAUUCUUUUAUUUCCAUGUCCAAAUAUGAGUGAUUGUUUGUAUGAUUUUUUACCAUUUAUUUAGUAGUUACAUCCUUACAAGUUUUGUUUGUUAGCUGACUAGAGGUUUUUUUUUUAACAUCAGUUUGCCAUGUUUGAGAUGAGAGAUAGUGAGGUACCACUUAUAUGCCUCCAUGCUCUGAUGGCCAAUUGGAGAGGUAAGUUUUCAAAGUUUUUCUUAUUUAUUUCCACAUUUAGGUGCCCAAGGGUUGGUGCAGAAGAUUGAAGCUACAAGCAUGCAACUACUGAGGAUCAUGCCUCAGGUGUCACAAAAUCUUGUGUCAGUCACUUGAAUUCAUUGGUUGAAAAAUCGGAUGCUAGGCAACAGAAUUGCCCAAUAGUCAUUUUUUUAUUGACGAUGAUUUGUACUUCUGUUUAAUGUAUAGUGCAUUCCUCCAUUGCUACAUGUGGUUAAAAAUAUUUCAUAUGAUAAAGAUCGAUGCUUAUAGA